rnacentral:rRNA from 1 species
AUCUACAGCCUUACCACCCUGAAUGUGCCCGCUCUCGUCUGAUCUCGGAAGCUAAGCAGGGUUGGGCCUGGUUAGUACUUGGAUGGGAGACUUCCAGGGAAUACCGGGUGCUGUAGGCU